GAAAAGUUUCAACCCCCCUCCCCAGUCUCUGACAGCAGGAGGACAAGGAAUGAUUUACUUCAUGAGAAAACUCAGACUGGAUGUUAUUUUAAUGAUAUAAAAGCUAAAGCUCUAUUUAAGUCAUUGAGCCUCCACCGAGCCACUGACUUGGGAGGUUUCCCUCUGAGACACAAUAUUAAGUCCCACAACUACCACAAACAGGCGCAGACUGAAAAGGAUGUAGCUGAACAGGACGGCCUUCCUGAACACAUGAAGAGCAUGAAGCCCUCCCUCCAACUCUUACCAAAGGCCACUGCAGAUCAGAUGGAGUGCUCUGUGUCCCUUCCUAACAACACCCAGCUCAGGCGCUGCAGAUACAGGCUGUUACCUUGGAUGACGUCUCGCGCCGUAAGCACAGAGAUGGACAGAAGCGCAUAGUCCAGGCUCGUGUUUCACAGCCUGAUCUUCAUCGGUGAUGUAGAAAUUCCAUGCGCUGCAGAGGAAGGCAGCACGUGGUCCCAUAGCAGCACAGCUACACAAGCACGAGAUAAGCAACAUUACAAACUUCUCAGUGAAAUAAAAUGAGCCACAUAUUGCAUGUUUCAGAUAAUCUUUAUCUUUCACUCUGUAAUUAAGCAAAUAGUUUACAGUGCAAGUUGAUUUUCACAGAACAAAGAUUAGACUCCAAACACCAAGAAAAACAAAAAAUGUUUCCAAAGGAACUCACAGAGAAAUAAAGCAGAAAAGAUGGAAGAAAUCAUAGGAGUCAGAAGAUCCACAGGGGAGGAGGCAAGCACGUGGGACACGAGAUGUCCCGCUCUGGCUGUGGGGUGUGAGCGCCUCCCCCACCAAAUCACAUUCUUAUAUAUGAGAGAUUCCUACUGAAACAGAAAUCUCACCCUGCUGAUAUCCAAACAAAGACUGCAUCAGGAUGAGCGUAGUGCUAAACAACAAAGUGGAGUGGAGAUGGAACAGGGGAGGGGUGAGGAAAUUAACCUCUAUUUCUUGUAUUUCUUAUCCAUCAGAAAAACCACUGGGGCUUUAUUUCAGCUGCCCUAGGACUACAGGCUGCUUUCAGUGUCAGAAGUGCUUAAGAAAACCACUUGCCUACAGACCAGCCAGUGGAACAAUACAGCAGCACUCUCUCCAGGAGACAAACGGCAGAUCAUCCAAGCUGCCAUCACACUAACUCCAGCACUUAGGGAAGGACUACAAGAAACAAGACCGCACACCUGACCCUUACUCAAGAGUGGGAGACCAGUUCCAAGGAGUGAUCUCACUUGUCUGUCGUAGCUCAGAACAGCUCGUGGCCCAGUGACCCCCAAGGCUGAGGACCAGGAGACCAAAGAUUAAGCCUUGGUGAAGUAGGAAAGGUCUCAGCUCACAGCAGGACCCCUCACAUUGCCUUGUCUGAACACCUCACAGGCCUAAGGCAGCAACCCCGCUCCACAGAACAUACAAUUUGAUGACUCCCAGGAUGGUGGGUGGAGACAAUGUGCAACUACAUGCUGCUAAACCGUGCCAGCAACAGCCAGCCUUCCACUGCUUCCUGCUCUGCCUUCCCAGGCUUUGCUCAUUUGGACCCUGUACAUUCAAGAUCUGAUAUCUUGGUUCUUAGCAAAAUGCCCCAAAGAAUCAAGUUUUGCCUCAGCACUCACUGUCCACUCCCAAGUGACA